rnacentral:misc_RNA from 1 species
GAUGAAAGAACGCAGCGAAGUGCGAUAAGUAAUGUGAAUUGCAGAAUUCCGUGAAUCAUCGAAUCUUUGAACGCAAAUUGCGCUCCCUGGCAUCCCGGGGAGUAUGCCUGUUUGAGGGUCAGUGUUAAUAAAAAUCGGUUCGUUGCGAAUUUUUUGUGACGUUCCGGAGUUUGGGUUAUCUUAACUUUUUCGGUUAAGAGGCUUAAAAUUGACCUUUUUUUGUGCAUUUUAGACGUACAUAAAUUUUCUUUUAUUUGUCUAUUAAUGCCAAAAUAUAUUAGAUGCGACCAUAUCGUGUGGUUCCGUGUCUAUAAAUUUUUCAUGAUUUGACCUCAAAUCAGGUAGGAGUACCCGCUGAACUUAAGCAUAUCAAUAAGCGGAGGA